rnacentral:rRNA from 1 species
AGGACGAACGCUGGCGGCGUGCUUAACACAUGCAAGUCGAGCGGAAAGGCCCUUCGGGGUACUCGAGCGGCGAACGGGUGAGUAACACGUGAGCAAUCUGCCCUUAGCUUCGGGAUAGCUCCGGGAAACCGGAAUUAAUACCGAAUAUGACUACGGUUGACAUCAGCCAUGGUGGAAAGUUUUUCGGCUAGGGAUGAGCUCGCGGCCUAUCGGCUAGUUGGUGGGGUAACGGCCUACCAAGGCGACGACGGGUA